GGACAUAGCUUUCAGGAAAGUCUCGGCUCGCGUGGAGGCUCCCCAAGGGAUCCUCCCCAAAGCCCUGGCUUCUGACCUGGGGCUUUACCUGGUGUGGGGAUAGGAGCGAGCUCUGGAGGUCUCGGGCCCCUCCCAAGGACCAUGCCGCAGCCCUGCUGACCCAGGAGUAGGGGCCUGAAGGCAGGGCGCCUGGAAUGGGCUGUGUGUUCUGCAAGAAGUUGGAGCCGGGGCUCAAGGAGGAUGUUGGCCUGGAAAGGGACUUCAGGGGCAGUGGGGCUGUAGACCGCUAUGGCCCUGACCCUACUCAGGCCCGGACUGGGUCCUCCUUUGCCCAUAUCCCCAACUACAACUUCCCCACUCAGUCCACCAGCCAUGCCUUCCUUGAUGGGGGCGCCAUCAGGAGCAUCUCCGGUGAGUCUAGUGGGCUGGAGGCGGGCACUGCCUGGCCCCUGGGAGAACCUGGGGGAAAGGGAGCCAUCUUUAGGAGGCUCCACUAUGACGUGGGAGAUACCGGCUUUCAGAGCACAGUCUGAGGAAGAAUGUACAGCCCUACCUCAGAAAUCCUGGUCUGGGGCGCCUGGGUGGCUCAGUUGGUUGGGCAGCUGCCUUCGGCUCA